rnacentral:rRNA from 1 species
AGAACGACUCUCAGCAACGGAUAUCUCGGCUCUCGCAUCGAUGAAGAACGUAGCGAAAUGCGAUACUUGGUGUGAAUUGCAGAAUCCCGUGAACCAUCGAGUCUUUGAACGCAAGUUGCGCCCGAAGCCUUCUGGCCGAGGGCACGUCUGUCUGGGCGUCACGC